rnacentral:rRNA from 1 species
UAGGGAAUCUUCCGCAAUGGACGCAAGUCUGACGGAGCAACGCCGCGUGAGUGAAGAAGGAUUUCGGUUCGUAAAACUCUGUUGUUAGAGAAGAACAGCGCAUAGAGUAACUGUUAUGCGUGUGACGGUAUCUAACCAGAAAGCCACGGCUAACUACGUGCCAGCAGCCGCGGUAAUACGUAGGGGGCUAGCGUUGUCCGGAAUCACUGGGCGUAAAGGGUUCGCAGGCGGAAAUGCAAGUCAGGUGUAAAAGGCAGUAGCUUAACUACUGUAAGCAUUUGAAACUGCAUAUCUUGAGAAAAGUAGAGGUAAGUGGAGUUUUUAGUGUAGCGGUGAAAUGCGUAGAUAUUAAAAAGAAUACCGGUGGCGAAGGCGACUUACUGGGCUCAUUCUGACGCUGAGGAACGAAAGCGUGGGUAGCAAACAGG